UGGGGAAUAUUGCACAAUGGGCGCAAGCCUGAUGCAGCCAUGCCGCGUGUAUGAAGAAGGCCUUCGGGUUGUAAAGUACUUUCAGCGGGGAGGAAGGUGUUGAGGCUAAUAACCUCAGCAAUUGACGUUACCCGCAGAAGAAGCACCGGCUAACUCCGUGCCAGCAGCCGCGGUAAUACGGAGGGUGCAAGCGUUAAUCGGAAUUACUGGGCGUAAAGCGCACGCAGGCGGUCUGUCAAGUCGGAUGUGAAAUCCCCGGGCUCAACCUGGGAACUGCAUUCGAAACUGGCAGGCUAGAGUCUUGGAGAGGGGGGUAGAAUUCCAGGUG
rnacentral:rRNA from 1 species